AUGAACGCUGGCGGCGUGCCUAAUCCCUGCCAGUCGAGCGAACAGACGAGGAGCUUGCUCCUCUGACGCUAGCGGCGGACGGGUGAGUAACACGUGGAUAACCUACCUAUAAGACUGGGAUAACUUCGGGAAACCGGAGCUAAUACCGGAUAAUAUAUUGAACCGCAUGGUUCAAUAGUGAAAGACGGUUUUGCUGUCACUUAUAGAUGGAUCCGCGCCGCAUUAGCUAGUUGGUAAGGUAACGGCUUACCAAGGCAACGAUGCGUAGCCGACCUGAGAGGGUGAUCGGCCACACUGGAACUGAGACACGGUCCAGACUCCUACGGGAGGCAGCAGUAGGGAAUCUUCCGCAAAGGGCGAAAGCCUGACGGAGCAACGCCGCGUGAGUGAUGAAGGUCUUCGGAUCGUAAAACUCUGUUAUUAGGGAAGAACAAAUGUGUAAGUAACUAUGCACGUCUUGACGGUACCUAAUCAGAAAGCCACGGCUAACUACGUG
rnacentral:rRNA from 1 species